rnacentral:precursor_RNA from 1 species
UAUCACAUUGAAAUUUUGGCGAGCGUUUGCAUCCCUCGCCAAGUUCCAAUGUGAAAGG